AUGAUUGAAAAUAGUUUGAUGCCUAACGAGCUAGAUGGAGGCUUGGGAAAGGAAGCGGGUCAAACAAAUCAAGAAUGGAGGAAUAGCAUAAUUCGGAUGCAAGGGAAUAAAUAGCACAUGGAUGUUUACAGCGCUAUCACUUAGCAGCCACUAAGGCAAGGUAUUGAAACGGGUCAAUAUAUUGAUCCGAGCCAGGUAUGUAUAAUAACACAACUCAUCAUGUAGAAUUUGGAGUUCUAUAAGAGUUAGACAAGGUUAAAAUAGAGAUAUUCGGUUAUCUUUUAGGUAAACCGAAUAAAUUGAGUUAUGAUUAUAGUGUUUUAGAAGCACAUGGGUUUACAAACAAGAAUUAUAGUUAAAAGGUCGGAUUUUGAGUCAAACAAGUAUUUAAAGGUCCUUGUAGUAAAAGAAGGAUGAAAAUUUACCAAGCUGCC
rnacentral:lncRNA from 1 species